rnacentral:rRNA from 1 species
CCUACGGUUGGCAGCAGUGAGGAAUAUUGGUCAAUGGGCGCGAGCCUGAACCAGCCAAGUCGCGUGAGGGAAGACGGCCCUACGGGUUGUAAACUUCUUUUAUAAAGGAAUAAAGUGAGGCACGUGUGCCUUUUUGUAUGUACUUUAUGAAUAAGGAUCGGCUAACUCCGUGCCAGCAGCCGCGGUAAUACGGAGGAUCCGAGCGUUAUCCGGAUUUAUUGGGUUUAAAGGGAGCGUAGAUGGGUUGUUAAGUCAGUUGUGAAAGUUUGCGGCUCAACCGUAAAAUUGCAAUUGAUACUGGCAGCCUUGAGUACAGUUGAGGUAGGCGGAAUUCGUGGUGUAGCGGUGAAAUGCUUAGAUAUCACGAAGAACUCCGAUUGCGAAGGCAGCUUACUAAACUGCCACUGACAUUGAUGCUCGAAAGUGUGGGUAUCAAACAGGAUUAGAUACCCGGGUAGUC